rnacentral:misc_RNA from 1 species
GAUGAAGAACGUAGCGAAAUGCGAUACGUAAUGUGAAUUGCAGAAUUCAGUGAAUCAUCGAAUCUUUGAACGCAUAUUGCGCUCUCUGGUAUUCCGGAGAGCAUGCUUGUUUGAGUAUCAGUAAACACCUCAACUCCCCUUUCUUUUUUUGAAAUGGGAGCUGGACUUGAGUGAUCCCAACGCUUUUCUCACCGAAAAGUGGCGGGUUACUUGAAAUGCAGGUGCAGCUGGACUUUUCUCUGAGCUAAAAGCAUAUCUAUUUAGUCUGCCUAAAAAACAGAUUAUUACCUUUGCUGCAGCUAACAUAAAGGAGAUUAGUUCUUGUGCUGACUGAUGCAGGAUUCACAGAGACAGCUUUGGCUGGCCUUUGUAAACUCGAUCUCAAAUCAAGUAAGACUACCCGCUGAACUUAAGCAUAUCAAUAAGCGGAGGA